rnacentral:rRNA from 1 species
CACGUAAGGGGCGAGCGUUGUUCGGAAUUAUUGGGCGUAAAGGGCACGCAGGCGGUUUUGCAAGUCCGAUGUUAAAGACCUGGGCUUAACUCAGGGAGUGCGUUGGAAACUGCAAGACUAGAAUCUUGGAGGGGGAGUCGGAAUUCCUAGUGUAGGGGUGAAAUCUGUUGAUAUUAGGAAGAACACCGGUGGCGAAGGCGGACUCCUGGCCGAAGAUUGACGCUGAGGUGCGAAAGCAUAGGGAGCAAACAGG